rnacentral:lncRNA from 1 species
UGUGAUUGUAAUUUUUUUGUGUUGUUAUAUAUGUUUGGAUGUUUUGUUAUUAUGAUUCGUUGGUGGUUGAUAUCCUACUUAUUGUGUUAUGAAUUUUGAAUGAGUUUUUUCGUGUAUCUAUUUAGUGUAUUUGUUAUAUUGUAUUUAAUAUUUUAGUUUAUUUUGUACUUUUGUUGAGAGAUAAUUUUACACUUGGGACACCCUUUUGAAUAUGUAUUUAUUUCUUUGUAUGUCUCCCUAUAUGGGUUGUGCCAAGUGAAAAUUUUGUAAUGUAAACUUACUAUAAAUGUAAGGUAUAGAGUGUGGCCUGGAAAGGUUGAGUGAAUUUUUGUAAUGUACAACUCACAAAUCAUGUAAGCUGAAAAUGAGGGUAAAAGUUGGGAGAUUCAGCUUCUUGAAAUUGAAUCAAUAUUGAUAUUUACAAGCAUGAAGAAAUUUUAAUAGCUAAUGUAUUAUUUAAAUUAGAAAUUUUUGUUUGAAUGAUAUUGUACUAAUGUGAUACAAGUGUGAACAAAAUUUUAAAAAUAUUUUGCAGGUUGUAUUGAUUCUUAGCAAGCUUGCUAAAUUUAGAAGUCUUUACUUCUCUUGGAACAUGAGGUACUAUUUAUCGGUAUAUUUUUUUUAUUCUUAUUUGUUUCUACCUUAAAUUUUUGUUUGAGAACACAGGUUUGACAAAAGUAGCAACCUUUAAGAAAAGGGAGGUAGUAAGAAUGUAGUGGGAUUUGGAUUUUGUGAUAGAUUUGGAUAGAAAAAGAAUUGUAAAUACCUAUAGGCGUAGAAGAGGGCUAGUUUUAUAAGUACUAAAUAUUUAGGAAAAUAAUUAUAUUAUAUUAUAUUAUAUUAUAUUAUAUUAUAUUAUAUUAUAUUAUAUUAUAUUAUAUUAUUAUGUAAUAUACGUAAUAUACAUGUGUAUCUACACAUUAUAUUACAUAAAUAUAUAUUAUAUAAAAUGCGUUAUAUAUAUUUACGCAUUGUUAUUAAACUUUGUUUGGAAUAUUGUAAUUUUUUUGAAUGUGUUAUAUAUGUGUUAUUUUUUUUGUUAUUGUGUGAUGUUUCGAUUGAAUAUUGUAAUAUUUGUUUUCAAUGUGAUGUUUCAUCGGAAUAUUAUAAUUUUUUUGAUUAAUGUUGAUUUUGUUUGUGAAUGUGAUGUUUCGUUGAUAAAUGUGAUUGUAAUUUUUUUUCCUGUUGUUAUAUAUAUGUUUGGAUGUUUUGUUAUUAUGUUUCGUUGGUGGUUGAUAUCCUACUUAUUGUGUAAUUUAUUUUGAAUGAAUUUUUUCGUGUAUCUAUUUAGUGUAUUUAUUAUAUUGUAUUUAAUAUUUUAGUUUAUUUUGUACUUUUGUUGAGAGAUAAUUUUACACACUUGGGACACCCAUUUGAAUAUGUAUUGAUAUUUCUUUGUAUGUCUUUCUAUAUGCGUUGUGCCAAGUGAAAAUUUUGUAAUGUAAACUUACUAUAAAUGUAAGGUAUAGAGUGUGGCCUGGAAAGGUUGAGUGAAUUUUAGUAAUGUACAACUCUCAAACCAUGUAAGCUGAAGAUGGGGAUAAAAGAUGGGAAAUUCAGCUUCUUGAAAUUGGAUCAAUAUUGAUAUUUACAAGCAUGAAGAAAUUUUAAUAGCAAAGGUAUUAUUUAAAUUAGAAAUUUUGUUUGAAUGAUAUUGUACUAAUGCGAUAUAAGUUUGAACAAAAUUUUAAAAAUAUUUUGCAGGUUGUAUUGAUUCUUAGCAAGCUUUCUAAAUUUAGAAGUCUUUACUUCUCUUGGAACAUGAGGUACUAAUUAUCGGUAUAUUUUUUUUAUUCUUAUUUGUUUUUAACUUAAAUUUUUGUUUGAGAACACAUGUUUGACAAAAGUAGCAACCUUUAGGAAAAGGGAGGUAGUAAGAAUAUAGUGGAAUUUGGAUUUUGUGAUAGAUUUGAGUAGAAAAAGAGUCGUAAGUAGGUAUAGGCGUAGAAGAGGGCUAGUUUUAUAGAUUCUAAAUAUUUAGGAAAAUAAUAUAAUAUAAUUAUAUUAUAUUAUAUUUAUAAUUAUAUUAUAUUAUACUGUACUAUACUAUACUAUACUUUAUUAUAUUAUAUUAUAUUAUAUUAUAUUAUAUUAUAUUAUAUUAUUAUGUAAUAUACGUAAUAUACAUGUGUAUCGAUACACAUUAUAUUACAUAAAUAUAUAUUAUAUAAAAUGUGUUAUAUAUGUUUACACAUUGUUAUUAAACUUUGUUUGGAAUAUUGUAAUAUUUGUUUUGAAUGUGAAAUUUCGUCGGAAUAUUAUAAUUUUUUUGAUGAAUGCUAAUUUUGUUUGUGAAUGUGAUGUUUCUUUGAUAAAUGUGAUUGUAAUUUUUUUGUGUUGUUAUAUAUGUUUGGAUGUUUUGUUAUUAUGUUUUGUUGGUGGUUGAUAUCCUACUUAUUGUGUUAUGAAUUUUGAAUGAGUUUUUUCGUGUAUCUAUUUAGUGUAUUUGUUAUAUUGUAUUUAAUAUUUUAGUUUAUUUUCCCUCUAUAUGGGUUGUGCCAAGUGAAAAUUUUGUAAUGUAAACUUACUAUAAAUGUAAGGUAUAGAGUGUGGCCUAGAAUGGUUGGGUGAAUUUUUGUAAUGUACAACUCACAAACCAUGUAAGCUGAAGAUAAGGGUAAAAGAUGGUAGAUUCAGCUUCUUGAAAUUGGAUCAAUAUUGAUAUUUACAAGCAUGAAGAAAUUUUAAUAGCAAAGGUAUUAUUUAAAUUAGAAUUUUUUGUUUGAAAGAUAUUGUAUUAAUGCCAUAAAAGUUUGAACAAAAUUUUAAAAAUAUUUUGCAGGUUGUAUUGAUUCUUAGCAAGCUUGCUAAAUUUAGAAGUCUUUACAUUGGAAAAUGAUGUACUAUUUAUCGGUAUAUUUUUUUUAUUCUUAUUUGUUUCUAACUUAAAUUUUUGUUUGAGAACACAGAUUUGACAAAAGUAGCAGCCUUUAAGAAAAGGGAUAUAUAUAGUAAGAAUGUAGUGGCAUUUUAAUUUUGUGAUAGAUUUGGGUAGAAAAAGAGUCGUAAGUAGGUAUAGGCGUAGAAGAGGGUUAGUUUUAUAGGUUUUAAAUAUUUAGGAAAAUAAUUAUAUUAUAUUAUAUUAUAUUAUAUUAUUAUGUAAUAUAUGUAAUAUACAUGUGUAUCGAUACACAUUAUAUUACAUAAUUAUAUAUUAUAUAAAAUGUUUUAUAUAUGUUUACGCAUUGUUAUUAAACUUUGUUUGGAAUAUUGUAAUUUUUUUGAAUGGUCUUGCUUGAUGAAUAUGUUAUAUAUGUGUGUUAAUUUUUUAUUUUUUUUGUGUUGUUAUAUAUGUUUGGAUGUUUUGUUAUUAUGUUUUGUGUAUUUAUUUAGUGUAUUUGUUAUAUUGUAUUUAAUAUUCUAAUUUAUUUUGUACUUUUGUUGAGAGAAUUUUACACUUGAGGCACCUUUUGAAUAUGUAUUGAUAUUUCUUUGUAUGUCUCUUUAUAUGGGUUGUGUAAAGUGAAAAUUUUGUAAUGUAGAAUUUACUAUAAAUGUAAGGCAUAGAGUGUGGCCUGGAAAGGUUGAGUGAAUUUUUGUAAUGUACAACUCACAAACCAUGUAAGCUGAAGAUGAGGGUAAAAGAUGGGAGAUUCAGCUUCUUAAAAUUGGAUCAAUAUUGAUAUCUACAAGCAUGAAGAAAUUUCAACAGCAAAGGUAUUAUUUAAAUUAGAAAUUGUUGUUUGAAUGAUAUUGUACUAAUGCGAUACAAGUUUGAAUAAAAGAUUAAAAAUAUUUUGCAGGUUGUAUUGAUUCUUAGCAAGUUUGCUAAAUUUAGAAGUCUUUACUUCUCUUGGAACAUGAGGUACUAUUUAUUGGGAUAUAUUUUUUUAUUCUUAUUUCUUUCUAACUUCAAUUUUUAUUUGAGAACGCAGGUUUGACAAAAGUAGCAGCCUUUCUUAAAGAGAAAAGGGAGGUAGUAAGAAUGUAGUGUGAUUUGGAUUCUUUGAUAGAUUUGGGUAGAAAAAAAGCCGUAAGUAGGUAUAGGCGUAGAAGAGGGCUACUUUUAUAGGUUCUAAAUAUUUAGGAAAGUGAUUAUAAUUAUAUUAUAUUAUAUUAUACUAUACUAUACUAUACUAUACUAUACUAUACUAUUUUAUACUAUACUAUACUAUACUAUACUAUACUAUACUAUACUAUACUACAGUAUAUUAUAUUAUAUUAUAUUAUAUUAUAUUAUACGUAAUAUACAUAUGUGUCCACUUUAUAAUAUAUAAAUAUAUAUUAUAUAAAAUGUGUUAUAUAUGUUUACACAUUGCUAUUAAACUUUGUUUGGAAUAUUAUAAUUUUUUUGGAUGGUCUUGCUUGAUGAAUGUGUUAUAUAUGUGUUAUAUUUAUUUUUUUUGUUAUUGUGUGAUGUUUCGUUGGAAUAUUGUAAUAUUUGUUUUGAAUGUGAUGUUUCAUUGGAAUAUUGAAUUUUUUUUAUGAAUGUUGAUUUUGUUUGUGAAUGUGAUGUUUCGUUGAUGAAUAAUGUGAUUGUAAUUUUUUUUUGUUGUAAUAUAUGUUUGGAUGUUUUGUUAUUAUGUUUCGUUGGUGGUUGAUGUCCUAUUUAUUGUGAUAUGAAUUUUGAAUAAGUUUUUUUGUGUAUUUAUUUAGUGUAUUUAAUAUUUUAAUUUAUUUUGUUCUUUUGUUUUGAGAUAAUUUUAUACUUGGGGCACCUUUUGAAUAUGUAUUGAUAUUUCUUUGUAUGCUUCUCUAUAUGGGUUAUGCAAAGUUAAAAUUUUGUAAUAUAGAAUUUACUAUAAAUGUAAGGCAUAGAGUGUGGCCUGGUAAGGUUGAGGAAAUUUUUAUAAUGUACAACUCACAAACCAUGUAAGCUGAAGAUGAGGGUAAAUGAUAGGAGAUUCAACUUCUUGAAAUUGAAUCAAUAUUAUUAUUUUUAAGCAUGAAGAAAUUUCCAUAGCAAAGGUAUUAUUUAAAUUAGACAUUGUUGUUUGACUGAUAUUGUACUAAUGCGAAAUAAGUUUGAACAAAAUUUUUAAAAUAUUUUGCAGGUUAUCAUUAUUAGCAAGCUUGCUAAAUUUAGAAGUUUUUACUUCUAUUGGAACAUGAGGUACUAUUUAUCGGUAUAUUUUUUUUAUUAUUAUUUUUUUCUAACUUAAAUUUUUGUUUGAGAAUAUAGGUUUGAUAAAAGUAGCAGCCUUUCUUAAAUAGAAAAAGGAGGUAGUAAGAAUGUAGUGGGAUUUGAAUUUUGUGAUAGAUUUGGGUAGAAAAAGAGCUGUAAGUAGGUAUAGACGUAGAAGAGAGCUAGUUUUAUAGGUUCUAAAUAUUUAGGAAAGUGAUAUAAUUAUAUUAUAUUAUAUUAUAUUAUAUUAUAUUAUAUUAUAUUAUAUUAUAUUAUAUUAUAUUAUAUUAUAUUAUAUUAUAUAUAUUAUAUUAUGUUAUGUUAUAUUAUAUAUUAUAUUAUGUUAUAUUAUAUUAUUAUGUAAUAUACGUAAUAUACAUAUAUAUGCAUACACAUUAUAUUAUAUUAAUAUCUAUUGUAAUUUUUUUUGAAUGGUCUAGCUUGAUGAAUGUGUUAUAUAUGUGUUAUUUUUAUUUUUUUUGUUAUUAUGUGAUGUUUCGUUGGAAUAUUGUAAUAUUUGUUUUGAAUGAGAUGUUUCAUUGGAAUAUUAAUUUUUUUUUUGAUGAAUGUUGAUUUUGUUUGUGAAUGUGAUGUUUCGUUGAUGAAUGUGAUUGUAAUUUUUUUGUGUUGUUAUAUAUGUUUGGAGGUUUUGUUAUUAUGUUCCGUUGGUGGUUGAUGUCCUACUUAUUGUGAUAUGAAUUUUGAAUAAGUUUUUUCGUAUAUUUAUUUAAAAAUUUUGUAAUAUAGAAUUUACUAUAAAUGUAAGACAUAGAGUGUGGCAUGGAAAGGUUGAGGGAAUUUUUGUAAUGUACAACUCACAAACCAUGUAAGUUGAAGAUGAGGGUAAAUGAUAGGAGAUUCAGCUUCUUGAAAUUGGAUCAAUAUUGAUAUUUACAAGCAUGAGGAAAUUUCAAUUGCAAAGGUAUUAUUUAAAUUAGAAAUUGUUGUUUGAAUGAUAUUGUACUAAUGCGAUAUAAGUUUGAACAAAAUUUUAAAAAUAUUUUGAAGGUUGUCAUUCAUAGCAUGCUUGCUAAACUUAGAAGUCUUUACUUUUAUUGGAACAUGAAUUUAUCGGUAUUUUUUUUAUUCUUAUUUCUUUCUAACUUAAAUUUUUGUUUGAGAACACAAAUUUAAUAAAAGUAGCAGCAUUUCUUAAAGAGGAUUUUGUGAUAGAUUAGGGUAGAAAAAGAGCUCUAAGUAGGUAUAGGCGUAGAAGAGGGCUAAUUUUAUAGGUUCUAAAUAUUUAGGAAAGUGAUAUAAUUAUAUUAUAUUAUAUUAUUAUGCAAUAUACGUAUGUAAUAUACAUAUGUAUACAUGUAUAUUAUAUUAUAUUAUAUUAUAUUAUAUUAUAUUAUAUUAUAUUAUAUUAUAAUAUACGAUACUAUAUUAUAUUAUAUUAUAUUAUAUUAUAUUAUAUUAUAUUAUACUAGAUUAAACUAUAUUAAACUAUAUUAUACUAUAUAUAUAUAUAUUAUACUUUAUUAUAUUAUAUUAUAUUAUAUUGUAUUGUAUUAUACGUAAUAUACAUGUGUCCACAUUAUAUUAUAUAACUAUAUAUUAUAUAAAAUGUGUUAUAUAUGUUUACGAUUGUUAUUAAACUUUGUUUGGAAUAUUGUAAUUUUUUUUGAAUGGUCUUGCUUGAUGAAUGUGUUAUAUAUGUGUGUUAUUUUUUAUUGUUUAUUGUGUGAUGUUUCGUUGGAAUAUUGUAAUAUUUGUUUUGAAUGUGAUGUUUCGUUGGAAUAUUGUAAUUUUUUUUGUUGAAUGUUGAUUUUGUUUGAAUGUGAUGUUUCGUUGAUGAAUGUGAUUGUAAUUUUUUUGUGUUGUUAUAUAUGUUUGGAUGUUUUGUUAUUAUGUUUCGUUGGUGGUUGAUGUCCUACUUAUUGUGGUAUGAAUUUUUAAUAUUUUUUUGUGUGUAUCUGUUUAGUUUAUUUGUUAUUGUAUUUAGUAUUCUAGUUUAUUUUGUACUUUUGUUGAGAGAUAGUUUUACAUUGAGGCACUUUUUGAAUAUGUAUUGAUAUUUCUUUGUAUGUCCCUCUAUAUGGGUUUUGCUAAGUGAAAAAUUUGUAAUGUAGAAUUUACUAUAAAUGUAAGACAUAGAGUGUGGCCUGAAAAGGUUGAGUGAAUUUUUGUAAUGUACAACUCACAAACCAUGUAAGCUGAAGAUGAGGGUAAAAGAUGGGAGAUUCAACUUCUUGAAAUUGGAUCAAUAUUGAUAUUUACAAGCAUGAAGAAAUUUCAAUAGUAAUGGUAUUAUUUAAAUUAGAAAUUGUUGUUUGAAUGAUAAUGUACUAAUGCGAUAUAAGUUUGAACAAAAUUUUAAAAAUAUUUUGCAGGUUGUAUUGAUUCUUAGCAAGCUUGCUAAAUUUAGGAAGUCUUUACUUCUCUUGGAACAUGAGGUACUAUUUAUCGGUAUAUUUUUUUUAUUCUUAUAAUUUUAUAACUUAAAUUUUUGUUUCAGAACACAUGUUUGACAAAAGUAGCAACCUUUCUUAAAGAGAAAAGGGAUGUAGUAAGAAUGUAGUGAGAUUUGGAUUUUGUGAUAUAUUUCGGUAGAAAAAGUUCCGUAAGUAGAUACAGGCGUAGAAAAGGGCUAGUUUUAUAGGUUCUAAUAUUUAGGAAAGUGAUAUAAUUAUAUUAUAUUAUAUUAUUAUGUAAUAUACAUAUGUAUACAUAUAUAUCUAUUAUAUUAUAUUAUAUUAUACUAUAUUAUAUUAUACUAUAUUAUACUAUAUUAUAUUAUAUUAUAUUAUAUUAUAUUAUAUAAAAUGUUAUAUAUAUGUUUACACAUUGUUAUUAAAUUUUGUUUGGAAUAUUGUAAUUUUUUUUGAAUGGUCUUUCUUGAUGAAUGUGUUAUAUAUGUGUGUUAUUUUUUUUGUUAUUGUGUGAUGUUUCGUUGGAAUAUUGUAAUAUUUGUUUUGAAUGUGUUGUUUCGUUGGAAUAUUAUAAUUUUUUUGUUAAAUGUUGAUUUUGUUUGUGAAUGUGAUGUUUCUUUGAUGAAUGUGAUUGUAGUAAUUUUUUUGUUAAAUGUUGAUUUUGUUUCUGAAUGUGAUGUUUCUUGAUGAAUGUGAUUGUAAUUUUUUUCUGUUGUUAUAUAUGUUUGAAAGUUUUGUUAUUAUGUUUCGUUGGUGGUUGAUGUCGUACUUAUUGUGAUAUUUGAAUGAGUUUUUUCGUGUAUCUAUUUAUUGUAUUUGUUAUAUUGUAUUUAAUAUUCUAGUUUAUUUUGUACUUUUGUUGAGAGAUAAUUUUACACUUGGGGCACCCUUUUGAAUAUGUAUUGAUAUUUCUUUGUAUAUAUGUCCCUCUAUAUGGGUUGUGCCAAGUGAAAAUUUUGUAAUAUAGAAUUUACUAUAAAUGUAAGGCAUAGAGUGUGGCCUAAAAAGGUUGAGUGAAUUUUUGUAAUAUACAACUCACAAACCAUGUAAGCUGAAGAUGAGGGUAAAAGAUGGGAGAUUCAGUUUCUUGAAAUUGGAUCAAUAUUGAUAUUUACAAGCAUGAAGAAAUUUCAAUAGCAAAUGUAUUAUUUAAAUUAGAAAUUAUUGUUUGAAUGAUAUUGUACUAAUGCGAUAUAAGUUUGAACAAAAUUUUAAAAAUAUUUUGCAGGUUGUAUUGAUUUUUAGGAAACUUGCUAAAUUUAGAAGUCUUUACUUCUCUUGGUACAUGAGGUAUUAUUUAUCGAUAUAUAUUUUUUAUUCUUAUUUUUUUUAACUUAAAUUUUUGUUUGAGAACACAGGUUUGACAAAAGUAGCAACCUUUCUUAAAUAGAAAAGGGAGGUAGUAAGAAUGUCGUGGAAUUUGGGUUUUGUGAUAGAUAUGGGUAGAAAAAGAGCCGUAAGUAGGUAUAGGCGUAGAAGAGGGCUAGUUUUAUAGGUUCUAAAUAUUUAGGAAAUUAAAUGAUAUAAUUAUAUUAUAUUAUUAUGUAAUAUACAUAUGUAUACAUGUAUAUCUAUUAUAUUAUAUUAUACUGUACUAUAUUAUAUUAUUUUAUAUUAUAUUAUACGUAAUAUACAUAUGUCUAUAGAUACACAUUAUAUUAUAUAAAUAUAUAUUAUAUAAAAUGUUAUAUAUAUAUUUACGCAUUGUUAUUAAACUUUUUUUUGAAUAUGGUAAUUUUUUGAAUGGUCUUCCUUGAUGAAUACAAUAUAUGUGUGUUAUUUUUUUAUUGUGUGAUAUUUCGUUGAAAUAUUGUGAUAUUUCGUUGAAAUAUUGUAAUAUUUGUUUUGAAUGUGAUGUUUCGAUGGAAUAUUGUAAUUUUUUUGAUGAAUGUUGAUUUUGUUUGUGAAUGUGAUGUUUCGUUGAUAAAUGUGAUGGUAAUUUUUUUUUUGUUGUUAUAUAUGUUUGGAUGUUUUGUUAUUGUAACAUGAAUUUUGAAUGAUUUUUUUCCGUGUAACUAUUUAGUGUAUUUGUUAUAUUUUAUUUAAUAUUCUAGUUUAUUUUGUACUUUUGUUGAGAGAUAAUUUUACACUUGGGGCACCCAUUUGAAUAUGUAUUGAUAUUUCUUUGUACGUCUCUCUAUAUGGGUUGUGCCAAGUGAAAAUUUUGUAAUGUAGAACUUAUUAUAAAUGUAAGGCAUAGAAUGUUGCCUAGAAAGGUUGGGUGAAUUUUUGUAAUGUACAACUCACAAACCAUGUAAGCUGAAGAUGAGGAUAAAAGAUGGGAGAUUCAG